AACGCUGGCGGCAUGCCUUACACAUGCAAGUCGAACGGCAGCACGGGGGCAACCCUGGUGGCGAGUGGCGAACGGGUGAGUAAUAUAUCGGAACGUACCCUGGAGUGGGGGGGUAACGUAGCGAAAGUUACGCUAAUACCGCAUACGAUCUAAGGAUGAAAGUGGGGGAUCGCAAGACCUCAUGCUCCCGGAGCGGCCGAUAUCUGAUUAGCUAGUUGGUGGGGUAAAGGCCUACCAAGGCAUCGAUCAGUAGCUGGUCUGAGAGGACGACCAGCCACACUGGGACUGAGACACGGCCCAGACUCCUACGGGAGGCAGCAGUGGGGAAUUUUGGACAAUGGGGGCAACCCUGAUCCAGCAAUGCCGCGUGAGUGAAGAAGGCCUUCGGGUUGUAAAGCUCUUUUGUCAGGGAAGAAACGGUUGGGGCUAAUAUCCUCGGCUAAUGACGGUACCUGAAGAAUAAGCACCGGCUAACUACGUG
rnacentral:rRNA from 1 species